rnacentral:piRNA from 1 species
UCCAGGGCACGAAUGGACUUGACUGUCUUU